rnacentral:tRNA from 1 species
GGUCUAAUAGUGUAGUGGUUAUCACUCUGGAUUUUGAUUAGACGUCAAAUCCUUCCAGUAACCCCAGUUCGAAUCUGGGUUAGACCU